rnacentral:lncRNA from 1 species
UCUCUCUUCCUUGCUUGGCCGCCCCCCCUCUCUCCCACUCCUCCCAAGUGUUUGCAGCCACACCACCUAACCCUAGCCGACCCCCAUCUCCUCCUCUCCAAGGUGUCAUUCCUUGCCGCUUGGAUCUACGUCGCGUGGUGCAAGUCCCCAAUUGGUUUUGGUAGAGGGAAGAAGCGAGGAAAGAAAGGGGGGAGAAUUCAAGGUGAUUUUUGUGAUCAUCUCUUGUUUAUUUGUGCUGCAAUUCCAUUGAAUAGAUGUUACGUAUGUGAAUUGGUAGAGGUGCUGUCCAGAAAUUUAGUGGGUGGGUGAACAACAGUAGUUCUAGUGAUUUCUGGGAACUUUUCGUGGGUAAUUGGUGAUAAUCAGUAUGAUAAUCAUGUAGAGCUUUGUGAUACCUUUCCAACGAGUACUUAUGCACUCGAUUCGGAGUUAUAUUUUAGUAGAUAUCGCCGUUUGAAUCUGGGUAUGUUGCUGUCCAAAAAACAGAUUUGCAGGUGGGCGAACAGCGGUAGUAUUGACAGUUUCUGGGGAUUUUUCGUGGGUAAUUGGUGAUAACCAGUAUAAUAAUAAUGUAGAGCUUUGUCAUACCUUUCCAACGAGUACUUAUGCGCUCGAUUCAGAGUUGUAUUUUGGUAGAUAUCGCAGUUUGAAUCCGGGUAUGUUGCUGUAAAAAACAGAUUUGCAGGUGGGCGAACAGCAGUAGUACUGACAAUUUCUAGGGAUUUUUCGUAGGUAAUUGGUGAUAAUCAGUAUGAUAAUCAUGUAGAGCUUUGUCAUAUCUUUCCAACGAGUACUUAUGCGCUCGAUUCGGAGUUAUAUUUUGGUAGAUAUCGCUGUUUGAAUCCGGGUAGGUUGCGGUCCAAAAACAGAUUGCAGGGUUUAUCUUGUGGACUGUGUUGGGCUAAUUAGAUUUUGGAAUUUAAUUAUAAAUUGUAUACAAAACUGGUGGGGAAUUUUAUGUAGAUGCUUCCGGAGUUUUUGAUUGAUAUCACUGCUAUUAUAAUUUUAAAGUUAUGAAAUUAUCAAGCAGCGCCGCUGCAAUUUGGUGGUGAUGGCGAGAGUUGUCGCUCGCGACGGGUUGGAAUUGUGCGUAGGUGCGGCGUUGUUUAUUAGCGUUUGUUAUGUGAAUUUGUGCACUAAGGUGUGUGUCAAAAACAGGUGGUGGACUUCCGGAUCGUACUUAGUACCAUUCCAAAUUCCCGGUGAAGGCAAGUAAAUACAGUGGUGGUUGCUACCGUUUGGUUUGCAUCCUAUUCCCUGUCAUUGAGUAUGCAUAAGUUUUAAAUAUGUUAAUCAUUGAAUUCUAUGAUGAAGUUUAUUUGUUCCAAAGUAUUAAUUCUCAGUUGUCUAAUAUUGUGGAUAAUCAUGAUUUGGUAAUGAUAUAUGUGGUUGAUUCCUAUCUUGGAUGAAGUUGAAGUAUCUUUUUGAAUCACGUUAUAUGAAGUGUUGUAGGCAUGUCAUGCAUAUCGCAUCAUCUAUCUUGCAUUCUGAAGUUAUGUCGUUAUCUUAUGGUCCGACCGUGCCGGUACAUUUUUAGCAUCGUACGUUGCCCGAGGAGGGGUACGAUGCGGCUUCAUAUCCUUAGAGGUAUGAAGGCAGAAGUCAUCCUUACAUUUGCAGACAUUUGCACUCAUGAGGUAUAUAUGAAGUGUGACAUUACUAUGUUACUAUUGUGGUUUCUACCUGCGAGGUGUGGUAACUAGGAGUGUUGUACAUUGUAUACGUGUUGCACCUUCAUGAUAAGAAGGUUGUGAAAUCAAGUGGUGGUAAAACAAUGUUCUUAUGUGGUUAAACAGUUUGAUAUUAUUUUACUUGCUGAGAUGUGUCAUCUCACUCUUGCAUUACUCAAUGCAGGUACUUGAUACAUGUUGGGAAUGAGGGGAGUAGCAGCACGUCCACUUUCACUCUCAUAAUAACGAUGCCCAGG